AUUGAACGCUGGCGGCAUGCCUUACACAUGCAAGUCGAACGGCAGCACGGGAGCUUGCUCCUGGUGGCGAGUGGCGAACGGGUGAGUAAUACAUCGGAACGUACCCUGAAGUGGGGGAUAACGUAGCGAAAGUUACGCUAAUACCGCAUAUUCUGUGAGCAGGAAAGAGGGGGAUCGCAAGACCUCUUGCUUUAGGAGCGGCCGAUGUCGGAUUAGCUAGUUGGUGAGGUAAAGGCUCACCAAGGCGACGAUCCGUAGCGGGUCUGAGAGGAUGAUCCGCCACACUGGGACUGAGACACGGCCCAGACUCCUACGGGAGGCAGCAGUGGGGAAUUUUGGACAAUGGGCGCAAGCCUGAUCCAGCCAUGACCGCGUGAGUGAAGAA
rnacentral:rRNA from 1 species